rnacentral:lncRNA from 1 species
GAGGCAGAGAGACAGGGAGGGAAAGAGAGUGAUCGGCAGAAAGAGAAAGUUCCCAUCCGCUGGUUUACUCUCCAGACACCCACACUGGCCCUUGGCAGGGGCCAAAGCCAGGAGGCUGGGAAUUCAAUCCGAGUCUCAGGGGCCGGCGCUGUGGCUCAGCAGGUCAAGCCCCAGCCUGCAGCAUCAGCCGCUCCACUUCCGAUCCAGAGCCUUGCUAAUGCACAUGGGAAAGCAGCGGAGGUGGGCCCAAGUGCCUGGGCCUCUGCCAGCCACGUGGGAGACCUGGAAGAGGCUCCUGGCUCCUGGCUUUGGCUCUGGCCCAGCCCUGGUCAUUGUGGCCAUUUGGGAAGUGGACCAGUGGAUGAAAGAUCUCUCUCUCUCUAUCUCUCCUUCUCUCUCUCUGUAAUUCUGCCCCUUCAAAUCAAUCAAUUAAUCAAUCGAUCAAAAAAAAAGAGUCUGCAACUUGAGCCACCGCCGCUGCCUCCUGGGGUCAGCAUUUGUAGGAGACUGGAGUCAGCAGCUGGAGCUGGGCCGCGCCGUCUACGUUACCUGUCCGCCCCUUACUCACGAGGCUUCGCUGCGUUCCAGCAGGAGGAAACAGGACCAAGACCUUACACAAACCGCCGCGCCCCAAGCUGGCUCACUGAGUUGUCUGCAAAGGCCGUGCCCCCAACUCCUGUGCCCCUGCAGCAGAGCCUCCCCCCUCCUCCCCCUGCUUGUGUGGGCGGAGUCAGCUCCCUCCUGCCGAGGGGGUGGUUGGGGGGCCACCGCGGCCUGGAGAAGGGGCUGCCCUGCUCUGACUUGAUGGUGGCCAUGCAGUCUGGGGGCCCUAAGUGUGAGCAGCCCUUCCGUUCAGCCUGGGCGGGUGCUCUCGGCCCUCGCCACCCCUUCGCACUUGACCUCCAAGCAGGCCGUGUGGAACCUCUUAUCUCACUGGGUGUGCAACUCCUCCGGGACUCAGUGACUCAGCCAGGGUCUCUGGCAAGGCCAGCAGGGCAGGGGCAGAGGCUGGCCCGGGGCUGCCUUUCACUUCCCAUUUGGGUGACUUGUCGCCGCCACAUUCAUGGUCAGGCGUGUGGUCAGGGCCGGGCAGGGCUUUCCCGGACAGCACGUUCCCGGUGCACAGGGAGAGAGCCCUGUGGUCGGCAGCUUCUUCCCAGCCUGGGCUCGAUGUUGAAACUCAGCUCGGGCUGCCGCUGCUUGCGUGCUCUUGACACUCCCAAGGCGGGAGGCCAGGGCUGGGGCUGGGGGUGCUAUGUGUGGCUGGGGCUUUGUGGCUCCAGAUCUGUGUGGCUCUGUUGGGAGCAGCGGUUCGGGGUCAGUGCAGGCAAGGGCAGGCCCUGA